AAAAGUGUACAAAAAGUUGAUCAAAUAUUGCCUUAUUUUGAUAAGAUUCUUAAGUUUUAGUUAGGUACAACUGUGCUAUGAAGGCUAGCUUGACAACGACAGGCGACAUGCUGGAUUGCUUAAUCAACAUUUAAAUCGGGGUUUUACCGAUGCCAGAAACUCUGAAUGUUUUAAAAGGCCAAUCUCAAUGGGAUGAGAUAGUUGGAGUUGGCUAUUGUGUUUUGUUAAGCGUAAAGUGACACAGAUAAGAGUAUUUUGCGGAAGUUUUAAAACUGUUUCAUAUCUUCGGCUUUUUAUUUACAAACCCAGUUUAAACGAAACGAUAACGACAGGUACAUCGGAUCGCUAUAGUGUACAUGAUGUCUUGGAUUCGAAUUCCUCACGUAACAGUCGCUUUACUACUGGCAACAGUGUACCAAAAAGGCGAGUGCACCUCAGAUGGCAUAAUAGUCAGCGAUGCAGAAGAGGUCGAGAAUGGUGAUAACACGUCCGCGCCGCUUUGCAAGUUCAGUGCAUGGGACAGAAGCAAGAGUUAUUUCGACGUGCAAUUUCACGAAUCAGAUCCAGUAUUCGUGAAAUUCAAGCUUAAGAUAAAUGAGACAUCAAUCAACGAAUCGCGUCACACCGACGUGAUAUUGCCUCAUCACUGAGUCUGGACAUACUCAACCGAGAAUUCGAAUUACAUGUAUGCCCUCCUUCGUGGGCUUGACAGUCAAAAUGUGUGCACAAGUGCCUUGAAUUGAUGAUCACCAGUGAUUAUAUAUACACAAUUUUAGAUACGGAUAUCAUAUUGCAGUCAUUAAAACUAAUGUAAGGCCCCCAUUGAGUUGACAGGUAUGAAAGCAAUUGAAUCAAUUUUAGAUCUCUUUUCAAAUGGCAUGACACUACACUCACACAAACAGAUUUGCAUAACAUAUUACAAUGUACAUGUUUUCGCUGGGUAGUGUAAUCUGUAGGAGCUAUUGAAGCAUGGGUGCUGAAUAAUUUUCGAAAGUCAUUAUUGGACCAGAGAACCUAUUAAGGUAUAAUAUUUUGAUUAUAAUUAUUCAAGUGCGUUAUCAAUUCAAAAGAUCAAAUAAGACAUGCCAAUCGUCUUUCCAUUAGUAUAGUCUGGAUAAAUAUGUUAAUAGAUAUGUUAUUCAGCUUUUAAAAAUUGCUUUCACGUUCCAACAGACCUAAAUUUAUUAAUAUACUCUAUAGAUAUUUCUAUUUUGCAAAAUUCUUAUAAAGCUAUUGAGUUGGGCGUAAUUGAAACAUUAUCUUAUGAAAGGAAAUUUCUUAAUUUUAUAAUCAUACUUCAAUAUUUAUAUAUAAACCAAUGACGUCUACUGACAUUUAACGAUUGCGUUAACAAUUAUUUAUCCGUGUAAAUUUGUUUAUGUUCUGAAAUUUAUAAUUCAAUCUUGUGCGCCCUCUUAACAAUGUACACCAAUCAAGUACAUACCCGGUACAUAACAAGAACAUUUGUUAAAUUGAUAUCCCCGCCAAAUAAAGUUUGUUUAUGAAUUGUUGCAAAUCUCUUGAUAUACAGUAUUACCCUUAACAAAAUAGUGAAGUGUAGGGUAAUCCAAUAAGCUAAAGACUGUCAAAUUACACAUACUAAGUAUUGAAAGCCAUACCUGGAGCUUUCGUCCGUGCACUACGGACUUCAUCAGCAGAAUUAAUUAUACUGUUGGGAAACGUUUACACCGCUAAAUGUCGGGGUGAGCGAUGUUAACGUAUGGUCCCAGGUGUGCGAGAGUUGGAAGCGUUGGUAAUUUGACAGUCUAAAACUUAUAGGAUUAUCAUGGAAACCAGUCAAACUUUCAUCGAAGAAGUGUAUGAUAAUUGUUUUUAUGCAUUGCAAUCGUCCUCACUGAUAAACCCAUGUAGUUUCAUGUUGAAAUCUUGUAGUGUUUCUGAGAUAAUGCCCUGAAAAUUUACAUCAUACAAAAACAACAAAGGGCAUUAACUCUUAUUUGAGAAAGUGUAAGGUUAAUAUGGUUCUUGUGCAAGGCAAUUCUCUUUAUUGAUUUCAACACAUCAUUGAAGUUUCACGUUGAAAUAUUGUAUCAUAUCUGAAAUAUAGCCCUGACAAGUUACAUGAUACCAAAACAGCAAAGGUCAAUUAAUCUUAUUAAAGAAAGUGUAGGGCUAUGGUUCUUGAGCAUUUCACGUUGACCAUUCCACAUCAGCUUUCAGUGGAGUGCCUUUAAAGGGCCAGUUUCUGAAAAUCUCCAUAAGUUCAGCAAAUCUGUUAAUACCAGAUUUCUUUAAACUUGUGGUUGUUUAUAUUUAACUUUUAUUGAAUGCGUGAAACAUGUUUGUUCUGUUGUUGAACAGCUGAACAUAGCUUGAUGUUUGUAAAUUGUGUAACAUGUUUCAAACAUAUCAAAUUGAUACAUACAAAAUAAACAUUUUGCAUUUAUGUACAUGCAUGUUAAGCCAAACAACAAAUGUUACCAAACACAAAUAUUAAUAUUUGGUAUCAAUAUUAGUAUUGGGCUAUUUUCGUAAUAGCCUAUUUAAUACAGUUUUUAAAACUAUGUUUUUAUAUGUUCGUCUACUCCAAAUAAACAUUUAUAUACGUAAAUAUAGGGUUAUAAUCCCUAUGGAAAGUGCCAGUAGCCCUUUUCAAUCUCUUGUGUACGUCAUAUUGAUCAGUGACUGUCUAAAUUAUUUAAUGAUUGUUCAUGCCUGUGUCUGAACUGUGUAAAUAUCUUCAAAGUCGUGAGACAAAUGCAAAGAUGAUUUUAAUAUUCAAACUUAAAAUAUAAUCUUAACCGUAACCUGGCAUCUGUUGCGUUUAUGUUAACAUGUUCAUAUUUUCUGGCUUACUGAAUUUAGAAUUUUCUAUAAUCGUGCGCACUUUUAUUGUGGUUGUUUUGUGAAGACGAAGCGCAUUACACUGUUCAUGUUGUUAUUGUCCACGUUUUUUAUAACAAAAAUGUUUUGUAUGUGAAUAACUUAACAUGUUUAUAUUGUUGACAUGUAUUUUCCGAUCUUCUAAGUUUGAUGUUGCACUCUCGAUAAAGUACAUAGCCAUUCAUGUGGAAUUGUAUUGUUCAGUGUUGUUAUGACAAAUUAAAUCCCUAAGGAUUG